UACGUAGGGUGCAAGCGUUAAUCGGAAUUACUGGGCGUAAAGCGUGCGCAGGCGGUUCUAUAAGACAGAUGUGAAAUCCCCGGGCUCAACCUGGGAACUGCAUUUGUGACUGUAGAGCUGGAGUACGGUAGAGGGGGAUGGAAUUCCGCAUGUAGCAGUGAAAUGCGUAGAUAUGCGGAGGAACACCGAUGGCGAAGGCAAUCCCCUGGACCUGUACUGACGCUCAUGCACGAAAGCGUGGGGAGCAAACAGG
rnacentral:rRNA from 1 species